ACCCCAUUAUAUGUAGAAGGACCAUCACAGGCAUAAUAUUCUUGAUUACAACUAAGAUAUGCCAACUACUUCCCUACCACUAUAUUUAUUCUGUAUACUGAAGAUUCCACUUUGUCUAUCUAUAAAUCCAUCCUUUUCAGUUUCCUUCUUCCCCUCCAACUUAUUACUAUAUAUAUCUCUUAGAUUAUGAAUAUCUGCAGCCGGCCUAUGCGUGCGUGUGCAAGUUUUCUUUGCUUGGAUAUAUAUAUAUCAUGGUAAGAUUUUAAUUGUUCUAUUUGAAAAAUGCAUACGAGAUAUUGGUGCGGUUCAAUUAGAAAGCCGAGUUCUUUUUGUUUUAGAACUCUGUUAUUUGAUUGAGCCGUGCCAAUAUCACGUAUAUUAGUAUUAUCUCGAUCACUCAACAGCCAUGUUGAAUCUCAGUUUGCUUUAUGUUUUUUCUUGAUUUUGUCUACUUGUUUUCCAUUCUCUCUUUAGUUUGUAAGUACACUUUGAAGCUUUUUUUCCAGGCCACACUCCCCUAACCCCGAAUUAUCUCUCUCUCUCUCCAUAUAUUUUUUGUGUAUAUUAUGAAUAUUUCAACAAUUAAGAUGGAAAGGAAUGCUGAGUGACGAAGUAACAAGAAUUUCUUUUCUAAAUCCCCAGAAAAUAAAAGAAAAUUGUUUGUUGAAUAUCCUAUAAAAAGAAAUAUUUUCAUUAGGAGCAGUAAUGGAGCAUUAGCUGGAGAUUUCUAUUUAUCUAUAUAUUGAGCAGCCACAGGGUGACGGCCAUAUCUACAAAGGUGUUCCAUUGUAUAUUCUCAUAAAACUUCACAUUUGUUUCUUUUUUAUUUGUAGAUAACAUAUUCACGCAUUCAUAUAUAUUCUUCGUGACUAGCUAUUAUGGUUGUUAUGAAAAUUAUCAUUAUGUUCAAUUGAUAAUUAUUGUUGUUUCUUCGUCAUAAUCAAUGUUGGGAUUUAAUUAAAGAAAUUAAGAUGCAGUUAUACGUAGUAGGUAUAAAUGCAAGUAGGGGCAAAAGAUCGCUGUUGUUGGAAGUAAAUGGUUUGGAGCUAAAAAGAUUGCCUGCUUUUGACAAAAGUAGUGUUGAGUAGGUGAAAGAUUAAUGAUUAUAUGCUUUAUUGACCUCAUUAUUUAAGUCAUUGUCAAAGCUCCAAUAUCGUACAUUAUCAAUUUUCUUCCUAAGUGGGUAAUAAAUAAUUGACCAACUUGACGAACCACAAUGAAAAUUGCUUCUAAGAAGCACUUUAGAAUAUCAUGAGUUAUGUUGUCUAACGAUCGAUCCACGAAAGAAAAACUUUUGGAAUAUGCAUAUUGUUUUCUGCAAGGUUAUUAUAAGGUUAAUCAAGUUUUAUUGCCAUUCAUUGGUUUUGGCUUAUGUCUCCUUUUAACCGUGUGGUUUUGCAUUUUACAUGAAUUUAUCUUCUAUGCAGUUAAGAGGAUCCAAGAGAUGAGUUCUGGCAUGGAAGGAGAUCAGUUUGACUGUGACGCCCAAUUAUUAUUGUAUAUAUAACUCGAGGUCACUAUAAGACCCAUAAGCUUCAAAUUUUUGGAUCCGCCUCUCUGGAGUGUGCCUGCUUUUGAUCUCCAGCAUAAUUAACCUCUCAAUGAGAUUAUUUUCUCUUACCUCAUUUCCAAAAUAACCUACAAAUUGACUCACUCUAACGGCCUGCAAGUAAUAAAGAUACUUGUUCAAGAUGUUUUCACUAAGACGAGGAGCAAGUCUCCAGAUCCUCGGACUAUAUAUAUAUAUAUAUAUAUAUAUAUAUUUAACUAAUUCCCAGACCAGAAACAAGUCUCCAGACCGGUUGCAUUGUCCUUUUUUGAUGUGAAGUGUUAAUAGCAGUAGUAUGUAAUAGGUAUAGAAGAGUAUUUUUUGGAUAACUAGUAGUGGAUGACUGAGCUUGCUUUGUAAUUCUUCUUUGGUGAUUAAUGAAAUAUGUUUAAUUACCAAAAAAAAAGAAAAAAAAACUAAUUCCCAAUGUUAGUGCUACAAUGUAGUCGCGAAAUUUAUCAAAUACAAUAACAAUG
rnacentral:lncRNA from 1 species